UUUCGGAUUAAGGAAACCGGCGCACGGGUGCGUAGCGCGUAUGCAACUUGCCCUUAUCAGGAGGAUAGCCCGGGGAAACUCGGAUUAAUACUCCAUAAGAUUUUGAUUGGCAUCGAUUAAAAUUGAAAGAUUUAUUGGAUAAGGAUAGGCAUGCGUCAGAUUAGUUAGUUGGUAGUGUAACGGACUACCAAGGCGAUGAUCUGUAGGGGGCCUGAGAGGGUGAACCCCCACACUGGUACUGAGACACGGACCAGAUUCCUACGGGAGGCAGCAGUGAGGAAUAUUGGACAAUGGAGGGAACUCUGAUCCAGCCCUCCCGCGUGCAGGAAGACGGCCCUAUGGGUUGUAAACUGCUUUUGUAUGGGGAUAAAUCCACCUACGUGUAGGUAGUUGAAGGUACCAUACGAAUAAGCAUCGGCUAAAUCCGUGCCAGCAGCCGCGGUUAUACGGAGGAUGCAAGCGUUAUCCGGAUUCAUUGGGUUUAAAGGGUCCGUAGGCGGGCUGAUAAGUCAGUGGUGAAAUUUUGUCGCUCAACGAUAAAACUGCCAUUGAUACUGUUAGUCUUGAGUGAUAUUGAAGUAGCUGGAAUGUGUAGUGUAGCGGUGAAAUGCAUAGAUAUUACACAGAACACCGAUUGCGAAGGCAGGUUACUAAGUAUUAACUGACGCUGAAGGACGAAAGCGUGGGGAGCGAACAGGAUAGAUACCCUGGUAGUCCACGCAGUAAACGAUGCUWACUCGUUUUCSGGGAGUGAUCUUCGGAGACCAAGCGAAAGUGAUAAGUUAGCCACCUGGGGAGUACGUUCGCAAGAAUGAAACUCAAAGGAAUUGACGGGGGCCCGCACAAGCGGUGGARCAUGUGGUUUAAUUCGAUGAUACGCGAGGAACCUUACCAAGGCUUAAAUGCAUAAUGACAGGAGUGGAAACACUUUUUUCUUCGGACAGAAUGCAAGGUGCUGCAKGGCUGUCGUCAGCUCGUGCCGUGAGGUGUUAGGUUAAGUCCUGCAACGAGCGCAACCCCUAUCAUUAGUUGCCAGCGUAUAAAGACGGGGACUCUAAUGAGACUGCCAACGCAAGUUGAGAGGAAGGUGGGGACGACGUCAAGUCAUCACGGCCCUUACGUCUUGGGCCACACACGUGCUACAAUGGUCGGUACAGAGGGCAGCUACCAGGCGACUGGAUGCGAAUCUCUAAAGCCGAUCUCAGUUCGGAUUGGAGUCUGCAACUCGACUCUAUGAAGCUGGAAUCGCUAGUAAUCGCAAAUCAGCCAUGUUGCGGUGAAUACGUUCCCGGGCCUUGUACACACCGCCCGUCAAGCCAUGGAAGCUGGGGGUACCU
rnacentral:rRNA from 1 species